GACGUAGGGGGGCAAGCGUUGUUCGGAAUUAUUGGGCGUAAAGAGCUCGUAGGCGGUUUGUCGCGUCUGCUGUGAAAUCCCGGGGCUUAACCCCGGGCGUGCAGUGGAUACGGGCAGGCUGGAGGCAGGCAGGGGAGAACGGAAUUCCCGGUGGUAGCGGUGAAAUGCGCAGAUAUCGGGAGGAACACCGGCGGCGAAGGCGGUUCUCUGGGCCUGUACUGACGCUGAGGAGCGAAAGCGUGGGGAGCGAACAGG
rnacentral:rRNA from 1 species